GGGUUGUGAGGUUAAGCGACUAAGCGUACACGGUGGAUGCCCUGGCCGUCAGAGGCGAUGAAGGACGUGCUACUCUGCGAUAAGCGUCGGUAGGG
rnacentral:rRNA from 1 species